AUUGGAUUAGUUCACUAGUAAGAGACGUGUCCAUACCGCCUGGUACAGGCAUUCCAUUUUGACCCUGGUAUUUUUCCAUGGAAGGAAGAAUAUAGAACAAGAUUCCUGUCCUAGGGAAAAGGCUAUUUAAGCAAGGGGAAGCUAUCAGCCCCCUUGUCUUGGGCUUGUCUGGAAAACCCUGAAAGAAUACAAAGGAUUGGAGACCCAGGUGGUCAGCAUAAAAGAGUUUCUGACCUGAAGAUUAUGCCUAGAAUUAGAACAGCCCAUAACGGCUGAAUGUGUCUGGCUCCUCUGCCAGGCUGAAGAGGCCAGGGUUAAAUCUGAGCGCCCCGAGCAGGUGCUUACCAACGAGGGAUGGAGAGAGUGAGCAGUUACCCGCUCUGGGACAUCCCCAUCAGGAACCUUGCAGAGAUGUCCUCCAGUCCAGCAGAGAAAGCAACCAGCGUGCCAGGGUAGGAGAAGCCACUCAGGACUCCCCCUGUCCCAUAAUCCUGCCCUCCUCCCUGUCUCUGGCCAGGAACGGCUGCCUGACAACGCAGCAGUUUGGUUUGUAUGUUUAAUAUGCUUACCAGGAAUAAGAACCUCAACAAAUAAUCCACCCGUAAUAAGAUCUACUUACCAAAGCAAUCUUCCCACAGAUGAGACCUGCAGCCUCCAGCCCCCUGCAUUAACGCAGCCCCAUCGAGGGGGCAAAA